UACGUAGGGGGCAAGCGUUGUCCGGAUUUACUGGGUGUAAAGGGCGCGUAGGCGGGUUAGCAAGUCAGAGGUGAAAUACUACAGCUUAACUGUAGAACUGCCUUUGGAACUGCUAAUCUUGAGUGCGGAAGAGAGAGACGGAAUUCCAGGUGUAGCGGUGAAAUGCGUAGAGAUCUGGAGGAACACCAGUAGCGAAGGCGGUCUCUUGGUCCGUUUCUGACGCUCAGGCGCGAAAGCGUGGGGAGCAAACAGG
rnacentral:rRNA from 1 species